AUAAAAAUAAACCAUAAGUGCCAUGGUGUAAACUGUAAAAAAACAAUACAAUUUAUAAGUAACAAUAAAACUUAUUGUUUUUGUAUUGUAUGAUUUUCUAAACGAAGAAUCCUGUCUAUUGUAUUUACAAUAAAAUAACAAUAAUUUAUAUUCCUUCAAUGAUGUUUAUUGUUCAUACCACGAAUUUACAGAUUUUCUUGUUGUUGUGAAAUUCAAUAGCGAUUGGUUUUGCAUUUGGGCUUUUCUUCUCACAGAAAUUUAUGCGCUUUCUAAUAGUGGAGCGUGGAGCUCUUUAUGAAUAUUUGAAAAAGCUCGAGAAGUAUUAUUCCUCAAACAGAAGCUAAAAAACAGGUAUAUUUUUCGCUGACAACGUCACUGGAUUGAUAGUCGCUGACACUGGCAAAUGAAAGGUCCCGAUACAUGACAGAAAAUACAGGUAAGAAUAUUCUCCAGAAUACCGGCAAAAUUGUUUAGUUUUACAACUUAAUAAUGUAUAAGAUUUCUCAUACAUUUUCAGAUAUUUCCAAUACCGUUUACCAGAUAAUGAGAAUCCUGCUGGCACCUGAUAAAUUAUUUGUUUUGACCUCGGUUUUGGCUUCAAAAAGGACGCGCGAGAAUUGAAAUCCAAAUAAAUAUAAAUCUAACAAACAUUUUUCCAUUGAGAUUUACGAAUAUAAAUAUCCCACUUUGAUUAUUUUUCAAUCACCGUGUGAGUGGCCUCGGUUGUGGUGUCAGUUAUUCACCAGCGUGAAGCAUUCAUGACUCGAAAUAUUCAAGAAAAUCUUCUUGUAAUUCCUAACAGAAGAUGCAGAAUAAUAGUGCAAUUUGAUUGAUUCGACGGCAGCUGGUGAUCGAGCUCCAGCAGAAACCCCAACAGAUAUUGUAAGCUGGUUAGGUUGCAACUUAAGUUUAUGUACGUUGCCAAAGAAUUCGGAUUCACAGCCAGCAGAAACAACUACAUUAAUGGCAGCCGCCGAAAGGAUUGCGCCCUCGAAAAACUGUGUAUCGACCAAUCUGCACUUUCCGGAAAUGGAAGGGACCCAGAACAGAGGCAAUUUUGACAUCAUACAACUCUCUGCAAAAUCACUUGCCGGGAUCGGCUGGAACCAGUUCGUCGUUGCUUAUCUUACUCAGAAUGUAUAAGUGAACGCUUUCAAUGCUGUACGCCUGUGAAUUCCGAGAGACGGUCAACAUGUUCAAUACGGUCCUCCAGGAGGCCAGCGAUUCAGUCAAGAAGGUGCAGAACUGAAUAGGUCAAAGAAGUCGUUCACUGAACCGUGCCAAAUUGGUACAACCGUCGUCGAGGAAUAAAAGGAAGGCAAACCGCAAACGAAUUGGCCGAAUCAGGAGGACGGUCACCUGUGGUAGAACCAAAAAAUGGUCGGCAAGUGUAUGUCCAGGAACCAAUUUAAAAAAAGAAAAAAGGGAGACGCGAUGAACUAGCCCGAAACUAUAGUAGUUUAAGCGGAUGUGUACUCCACCUUCGGUGGAAACUACAUUGCUUCACUAAAUAAUAGCAAUUACCUAAUCGCAUUAGUGUUGUGAAUCAAACUUUUCAACCAAAUGGUGCAGCGGCAAGUAGGUGGUAAGUAGGUGGAAUUAGAGUGUAUACACUACUAAAAAUCCACACAUAUUUAUUGGCAAAAAUCCAUAGAUUUAAUUUAUGAUGUAUAUCAGCGCACACAUAACCAUUCUCCACGCGAACUACUUAUAAACUAUAUAUCCAAAUAAAAUUUAUGUGUGGUCUCCAAAUAGCAAUUAUUUAAUUUAUGUGUGGUUCUAAAUCGAUUAUAUUAGGGUGGAGCUAUUGCAAAAAUUUAUAACGGCGACACAUAUAUCUUAUAUAGAUAUUUUUGGCAGUGUAGGAACUGGAACUGUGGAUGAGGACAAGGAAAAUGAGAUGAGGUAGGAAGAUUGCUGGAUAAACACAAGUUACAUGAUAGCAAGGUUUAGCAUGGAGAACUUUAUUUCCAAGAUGAUCUAGUAUGUUCCACAGAUUAUUAAUCUUGUAAUAAAACGAUAUUUAUAUAUUUUUUCAAUCAUAGUUUUUGAACAGAACUUAAGUGCAUGUUUGUCCAUAUUACUACCAUUGUCAAUUUAAAAAGUAGAACGUAUAUGAGUAAAAAUAAUAUACGACAUUAUAUUUAUUUUUUGACGUUAUGUAAUUUGUUAUUGAACCCUUAUGAGUUGUACUUAUAUUUGUAAUUAAGUAAAUAUAUAUUUAAAGUUGUG